rnacentral:rRNA from 1 species
CCUUUUUCUGGGCGCACGCGCGCUACACUGAUCAAGUCAACGAGUUUACAACCUUGGCCGGAAGGUCUGGGUAAUCUUUUGAAACUUGAUCGUGCUGGGGAUAGUCCAUUGCAAUUAUUGGACUUCAACGAGGAAUUCCUAGUAAGCGUGAGUCAUCAGCUCGCGUUGAUUACGUCCCUGCCCUUUGUACACACCGCCCGUCGCUACUACCGAUUGAAUGGCUUAGUGAGGCUUUCGGAUUGGAUUUUGGCAGCUGGCAACAGCAGCUUGGAACUGAAAAGUUAUCCAAACUUGGUCAUUUAGAGGAAGUAAAAGUCGUAACAAGGUUUCCGUAGGUGAACCUGCGGAAAC